rnacentral:tRNA from 1 species
GCAUUCUUGUGGCCGUUUUGUGGGCCUGCGUGCUUUUUAGGCAUGGGGUCUGCGGAGUUAGCAGGGGGGUGAG